rnacentral:rRNA from 1 species
AGAGUUUGAUCAUGGCUCAGGAUGAACGCUAGCGGGAGUAACACAUGCAAGUCGAGGGGCAGCACGAGGUAGCAAUACUUUGGUGGCGACCGGCGCACGGGUGAGUAACGCGUAUGUAACCUACCUUGUACAGGGGGAUAGCCCGGAGAAAUUCGGAUUAAUACCCCAUAAAGAUAUUUUGGGGCAUCUUAAGAUAUUUAAAGUUUCGACGGUACGGGAUGGGCAUGCGUAACAUUAGCUAGUUGGUAGGGUAAUGGCCUACCAAGGCUACGAUGUUUAGGGGUCCUGAGAGGGUGAUCCCCCACACUGGUACUGAGACACGGACCAGACUCCUACGGGAGGCAGCAGUGAGGAAUAUUGGUCAAUGGGCGCAAGCCUGAACCAGCCAUCCCGCGUGCAGGAAGACGGCGCUAUGCGUUGUAAACUGCUUUUCCAGGGGAAGAAAACCCGCUACGAGUAGCGGCUUGCCGGUACCCUGGGAAUAAGCAUCGGCUAACUCCGUGCCAGCAGCCGCGGUAAUACGGAGGAUGCGAGCGUUAUCCGGAUUUAUUGGGUUUAAAGGGUGCGUAGGCGGAUUAAUAAGUCAGUGGUGAAAACCUGCAGCUUAACUGUAGAACUGCCAUUGAUACUGUUAGUCUUGAGUACGGUCAAGGUAGGCGGAAUGUGUAAUGUAGCGGUGAAAUGCUUAGAUAUUACACAGAACACCGAUUGCGAAGGCAGCUUACUGGGCCAUUACUGACGCUGAUGCACGAAAGCGUGGGGAGCGAACAGGAUUAGAUACCCUAGUAGUCC